rnacentral:rRNA from 1 species
CCUUUAGAGAUAGAGGGAGUGCUACGAAAGAGAACCGUAACACAGGUGCUGCAUGGCUGUCGUCAGCUCGUGUCGUGAGAUGUUGGGUUAAGUCCCGCAACGAGCGCAACCCUUGUCAUUAGUUGCUACAUUCAGUUGGGCACUCUAAUGAGACUGCCGGUGACAAGCCGGAGGAAGGUGGGGAUGACGUCAAGUCCUCAUGGCCCUUAUAGGUGGGGCUACACACGUCAUACAAUGGCUGGUACAAAGGGUUGCCAACCCGCGAGGGGGAGGCCAAUCCCAUAAAGCCAGUCGUAGUCCGGAUCGUAGUCUGCAACUCGACUACGUGAAGUCGGAAUCGCUAGUAAUCGUGGAUCAGAAUGUCACGGUGAAUACGUUCCCGGGUCUU